rnacentral:rRNA from 1 species
UACGUAGGCAGCGAGCGUUGUUCGGAAUUACUGGGCGUAAAGCGUGCGCAGGCGGCCGCGCAAGUCGGGUGUGAAAGCCCCGGGCUUAACUUGGGAAUUGCGCUCGAAACUACGUGGCUGGAGUGUGGCAGAGGAAGGUGGAAUUCCACGUGUAGCGGUGAAAUGCGUAGAGAUGUGGAGGAACACCAAUGGCGAAGGCAGCCUGCUGGGCCAACACUGACGCUCAUGCACGAAAGCGUGGGGAGCAAACAGG